rnacentral:rRNA from 1 species
GGUGAACGCUGGCGGCGUGCCUAACACAUGCAAGUCGAUCGGAGCAGCAAUGCUUAGAGGCGAACGGGUGAGGAAAACGUAGUAACCAACCCUUUAGACUGGGAUAGCCACUGGAAACGGUGGGUAAUACCGGAUAAGCUCGAGAGAGGAAAGGCAGAGAAGCGCUAAAGGACGGAACCUGCGCCCCAUCAGAUAGUUGGUGAGGUAAAGGCUUACCAAGUCAAAGACGGGAAACCGACGUGAGAGCGUGUACGGUCACAAGGGCACUGAGAGACCGGGCCCUACUCCGUACGGGGAGGCAGCAGGUGGGGAAUAUUGGACAAUGGACGAAAGUCUGAUCCAGCGACGCCGCGUGACCGACGAAGUCCUUCGGGAUGUAAAGGUCUUUUGCCAGGGAAGAAGAUCUGACGGUACCUGGCGAAUAAGCCCCGGCUAACUACGUG